AAAUUGAAGAGUUUGAUCAUGGCUCAGAUUGAACGCUGGCGGCAGGCCUAACACAUGCAAGUCGAACGGUAACAGGAAGCAGCUUGCUGUUUUGCUGACGAGUGGCGGACGGGUGAGUAAUGUCUGGGAAACUGCCUGAUGGAGGGGGAUAACUACUGGAAACGGUAGCUAAUACCGCAUAACGUCGCAAGACCAAAGAGGGGGACCUUCGGGCCUCUUG
rnacentral:rRNA from 1 species